rnacentral:tRNA from 2 species
GGUGGGGUGGCCGAGAGGCUAGGCAGCGGCCUGCAAAGCCGUCCACGCGGGUUCGAAUCCCGUCCCCACCUCAA